GCAAGGGGAGCGGCAGACGGGUGAGUAACGCGUGGGAAUCUACCGUGCCCUAAGGAAUAGCUCCGGGAAACUGGAAUUAAUACCUUAUACGCCCUUCGGGGGAAAGAUUUAUCGGGGUAUGAUGAGCCCGCGUUGGAUUAGCUAGUUGGUGGGGUAAAGGCCUACCAAGGCGACGAUCCAUAGCUGGUCUGAGAGGAUGAUCAGCCACAUUGGGACUGAGACACGGCCCAAACUCCUACGGGAGGCAGCAGUGGGGAAUAUUGGACAAUGGGCGCAAGCCUGAUCCAGCCAUGCCGCGUGAGUGAUGAAGGCCCUAGGGUUGUAAAGCUCUUUCACCGGUGAAGAUAAUGACGGUAACCGGAGAAGAAGCCCCGGCUAACUUCGUGCCAGCAGCCGCGGUAAUACGAAGGGGGCUAGCGUUGUUCGGAAUUACUGGGCGUAAAGCGCACGUAGGCGGAUAUUUAAGUCAGGGGUGAAAUCCCAGAGCUCAACUCUGGAACUGCCUUUGAUACUGGGUAUCUCGAGUA
rnacentral:rRNA from 1 species